rnacentral:lncRNA from 1 species
GAGAGACUCCCUCAAAAAAAAAAAAAGAAAAGAAAAAAGAAAAAAAGAAAAAAAAGAAAAACAAAUGAACAAAAAUGUGUCUUAAGUUAGGAUUCCCGAGCCCUUGCCCUGUGCCUGGCCCUGCACCCUGUGUCUUCAGUGCUGUGGAGAAUGCAGCACAGACCCUGCCCUCAAGGCUUACAGUCUAAGGCCUGAAUGACUAUGCCCAGCUCCCUCCCUUAAAAUGAAGGCUGCUAUUCCCAGAAGUCAGGGGCAGCCUGGAACCCAAGAGCCUUGUAUCCCUGUCCAGGGCAUUACAUUUCAUGAAGGCAAGAACAGACCAAAUCCUGUGGACUUUUGGCAGGCUCUGAAAUCAGCAUCUAGGCCUUAGGGGCUCAAAGCCCACGUG